rnacentral:rRNA from 1 species
UACGUAGGGAGCAAGCGUUGUCCGGAAUCAUUGGGCGUAAAGAGCGCGUAGGCGGCCCUGUAAGUCCGUUCUGAAAGUCAAAGGCUCAACCUUUGAAAGCCGAUGGAUACUGUGUGGCUAGAGUACGGAAGAGGCGAGUGGAAUUCCUGGUGUAGCGGUGGAAUGCGCAGAUAUCAGGAGGAACACCAAUAGCGAAGGCAGCUCGCUGGGACGUUACUGACACUGAGGCGCGAAAGCGUGGGGAGCGAACAGG